AAAUUAACUCUGUUAAUGCAAUAGAAUAAAAAAAACAAUUCUAUAGUAGAACAAAGAAAAGAAAUUUACUAAACUCAACAUACAGUGUUCAGUGGUAACAAUAAUUGUUAUUAAUUUAAUUAGUUAUUGUUUGUUUGUUGUGUGUGUGUGUGUGUGUGUGUGUGUGUGUGUGUGUGUGUGUGUGUGAAUGACACACGAUCAUUCAGAAAUCAUUCUAAUAUGCUGAUUUGGUGUUCAAGAAACAUUAUUAUUAUCAGUGCUGAAAGUUUUUUUUGUAUAUAUUUUGUAUAUAUUUAAAAGGAUUUCAUUUUUUUUUGUUCAGCAAGGAUGCAUUAAAUUGAUCAAAAGUGACAGUAGAUACAUUUUAUAAUGUAAAAAAUUCAAAUAAAUGCUGACUUUCUAAUCAUCAUAGAAUCCUUAAAUAUAUAAACUAUGAUACUUUUUAGGAUUCUUACAAAUAGAAAAUUCAAAAGAACAGUAUUUAUUUGAGAUGAAAAUAGAAUCAAUGCAUCCUUGCUAAAUAAAAAUAUAACUGACCUCAGACUUCUGAACGGUAGUAUAUUUAUUGAACAUGCUGUUUUAAAAGCAAUAAGUCUCUUAAUGCUGUUUGUUACUAUGUUUUUACUUUUACAUCAAGCCUAAUGAGUCUUAACCAUGGUAAAGUCAAUGUAAAGUCUCUAAUACUGAAUUGAUUACUGUUUGCAUGGAAUUGCAGAACUUUAAUUGCCAUGUUUUUUCCAAUGCUGGCGUUAUCAUGUGUACAGUUAUUGUGUUUACUGUGCUUUUUAAACAUCUCUGCCUCUUUGUGUUUGUUUAUGUGUGUGUAUUCACACAGUGACAGUCCUCACAGUGAACCAGGCACCAUUGAUGAAGCAGACAACUGCACCGAACCACACACAAGCGAUGAUGCUAUUUUACCUAUUGAAUCGGAAGUCUCGCACAUUCACAGGAGCAUUGAAUUGAGGUCGAUUUUAAAAGGCUGUUUCAUUCAGAAGGUUGCCCCCUCAUGAUGGCCACCAUGUUGAGUUUGUAUGACCAGCCUUGUCUUGCAUUGUAAAUGCAUACUUCAGGAUAAUUUCUCUAGGUUUGACAUUUUCCAAAAACAUUAUGUUGCACUUAGUCAGCCUGUGAUAAUGUCACAUAAAUGUCAAUGGUGCUCCAAAGCUGGUGGGGGCAGUAGAGAGGCUAUCAUUUAAUACCUUUCCAAAGACAAAAAUAGAGAGAAAAACUUUAUUUAUUGUGUAGAUUAUGUAUUAUGUUUGGAAAUGCAUACUUCUAUACUUUUAAUAUUUCUGCUGUAUGUAAUAUGUGCUAUAUAUAAUAAGUUCUAAACAUGCUACUAAAAUGUGUAGUAGAUAACAUACAGUAGGGAAAUCUUUAUUUGAUCCCCUGCUGAUUUUGUUAGUUUGCCCACUUAAAAAGAAAUGAAGGGUCUGUCAUUUUUAUGGUAGGUUUAUUUUAACGUAUAGAAACAGAAUAUCAACCAAAAAAUCCAGAAAAAAUACAUUAUUUAAAGGUUAGAAAUUGAAUUGCAAAAUCAAGGAUCAAAUAAAUAUUUCCCCCAAUGUACAGUAUAUACUGCACGAUAAAUCUCGUGUUAACUCACAUCUUCUCAGUAAAGCCGGUUCUGUAAUUAGCGGUAAAUAUAUACAUAUACAUUUAUAACUGUAUGACUUGCUUUCAUCUGUGGAAUAUAAAAGAAGAUAUUUUAAAGAAUGUUGUUAACCAAAUUAUUUCUGGAAAAAAAAAAAAUUAAUUCUACAGAAUGCAUACAUGUUUAGAAAGAUAUGAGGGUGAGUAAAUUAAGACAGAAUUUGUGGACUGUGAGUGGACUCUAAUAAGGUCAUGGGUCAACAAUGCCACAUAUUACAUAAUGCUUAACUUGUUUAUAAAUAUUAAGCUGUAGGUUAUUAAGUGUAUGGUAUAUUCUAUUUUAUUGGUGAUUUUUUUUGUUGUUGUUGAUCCGUAACAUAAAGCAUUCAAAGUAAUCAUGUUUUUAGAGGUAGCUCUAUGAACUGCUUUUAACAGUAUGUUAUUGCCUAAAUCGCAUGCUGUGUAGGCUUAUGUAUAUGUUUGUGAUCCGCACUGACAUUCUGUUUUGAUCUGUCUGGUGCUCUGAUCUGGAAUCAACCUUCCCUCAGGAGCUCAUCAGCCGCAGUCUGCCUUAUGCAUGACUUCAGGACUGUUUGUAGUGCUUUAGCUCCAAAACAGCGCUAUUGCGACUUCCCCAUUACUCUCGGCGCAUGCUGAGAAAUCGCAAUACAGAUUUUGAGCCUUCAAUCCAGCCAAUCAGGUGCAGUCACAAUAGAAACAAUCAGACAAAUACAGAAUUGCAAAGGCUGAUUUUCUCCCUCUCUCCAUUUCCAUUCUUCCUCUUUCCUUCUACUUCUGUGCCAUGCCUGUAUUUAAUUUCACCCCUGGGUGGAAACCCUAAUGAAACUGAUUGGUUUCUUCUAGUCGACUUGGUGAUUUCCUGCCAAGCGAUGAUUUGCUCUGUAUAUCUCCUUAACCCUGAAUGACCCCUCUGUCUGUUUGCCCCUGGCAUCAUCUGGGGGGUGAAGUGUGAACUGAUUUGUGGUCAUGCGAUGGCAGUGGACACGUUAAAUGGAAGCUGGGUGGCAGAUUAGAUCAGAUUUAGAUAAAGUCCACUGUGCAUUUGUUAGCAGCCCAUCUGUAUUAAAAAUGUGUCUGUUUCUUUGUGGUCCUGAUGGGGUAAAAGAUGAGAUCAUAUCCUGAUGUUUGAGACCUUUUGUGAUAAAUGUGAGUCUGUAUGAUACUGAAUACAUCACAAUCUAAUUGACAAAUAAAUGCGCAUUCAGGCUUGUUUUCUAAGCUAUAUUGUUGAGCAGCACUUUUUGUUGUUGUUGACUGAUCAGUCACAUCUGU
rnacentral:lncRNA from 1 species